GUGGGGAAUCUUGCGCAAUGGACGAAAGCCUGACGCAGCCAUGCCGCGUGAAUGAUGAAGGUCUUAGGAUUGUAAAAUUCUUUCACCGGGGACGAUAAUGACGGUACCCGGAGAAGAAGCCCCGGCUAACUUCGUGCCAGCAGCCGCGGUAAUACGAAGGGGGCUAGCGUUGCUCGGAAUUACUGGGCGUAAAGGGCGCGUAGGCGGACAGUUUAGUCAGAGGUGAAAGCCCAGGGCUCAACCUUGGAAUUGCCUUUGAUACUGGCUGUCUUGAGUACGGGAGAGGUGAGUGGAACUCCGAGUGUAGAGGUGAAAUUCGUAGAUAUUCGGAAGAACACCAGUGGCGAAGGCGACUCACUGGCCCGUUACUGACGCUGAGGCGCGAAAGCGUGGGGAGCAAACAGGAUUAGAUACCCCGGUAGUCC
rnacentral:rRNA from 1 species